rnacentral:rRNA from 1 species
AUUCGCGUCCGCCUGGUUUUCAAAAACAUGGUCUUUUGUUUAUAUAAAAGAUCUGACCUGCCCUAUGAUUUAUUUAAAUGGCUGCAGUAUUUUGACUGUACAAAGGUAGCAGAAUCAUUUGUCUUUUAAUUGAAGGCUUGUAUGAAUGGUUGGAUGAAAAAUAUACUUUCUUUAUUUUAUAUAAAAAAUUUAAUUUUCUAGUCAAAAAGCUAGGAUUUUUUUAUAGGACGAGAAGACCCUAUAGAACUUUAUUUUCUUUUUUUAUAAAUUUUAUAGGUAAAUAUAAAUUUAUAUAUUUUUGUUAAUUUUGUUGGGGUGAUUGAAAAAAUUUUUUAACUUUUUCUAUUUUUUACAUUUAUAUAUGUUUUUUUGAUCCUUUAUUAGGGAAUAUAAGAUUAAGUUACCUUAGGGAUAACAGCGUUAUUUUUUUGGAGAGUUCUUAUCGAUGAAAAAGUUUGCGACCUCGAUGUUGGAUUAAAUUAAGUAAUAGGAGUACAAUAUUAUUUACUAGGUCUGUUCGACCUUUAAAUUUUUACAUGACCUGGUUCCCAAC